UACGAAGGGGGCUAGCGUUGUUCGGAUUUACUGGGCGUAAAGCGCACGUAGGCGGAUCGUUAAGUCGGGGGGUGAAAUCCUGGAGCUCAACUCCAGAACUGCCUUCGAUACUGGCGAUCUUGAGUCCGGAAGAGGUGAGUGGAACUCCUAGUGUAGAGGUGGAAUUCGUAGAUAUUAGGAAGAACACCAGUGGCGAAGGCGGCUUACUGGUCCGGUACUGACGCUGAGGUGCGAAGCGUGGGGAGCAAACAGG
rnacentral:rRNA from 1 species